rnacentral:rRNA from 1 species
UACAGAGGGGGCAAGCGUUGUUCGGAAUUACUGGGCGUAAAGGGCGCGUAGGCGGCCUGCUAAGUCGAACGUGAAAUCCCCGAGCUCAACUCGGGAACUGCGUCCGAUACUGGCAGGCUUGAAUCCGGGAGAGGGAUGCGGAAUUCCAGGUGUAGCGGUGAAAUGCGUAGAUAUCUGGAGGAACACCGGUGGCGAAGGCGGCAUCCUGGACCGGCAUUGACGCUGAGGCGCGAAAGCCAGGGGAGCGAACGGG